rnacentral:ribozyme from 1 species
UGCCCAGCAACUCAUAUCCCUAUCUCCUCGUGAUAAGGACCAGAAUACGAGCAAGCUUAGGGAAGAUCGGGUAACCAGCCCUGGUGGGAACUUUGGUUGUAUGCUGACAGGAAAGG